UUACGAACAAUAUCGGCGCCUUCGACCCAAUCAUAUUCGCGACUAUCGGUGUCGCUCCCUCGAAUGAAACGGAAUGUCUGCUUUGGCUCUUCCGCUCCUCCUGGUUUGUCCAAAUUUCCCUCCUGAUCGUCCGGCUCAGGCUCAUCAUGUUCAAGGCCGAAUUCAAAAUCUUCAAGGACUCCAUGCCCUCCCACAUUCGUCUCAUGACGGUUCUCAGCCCCUAUGGGAU
rnacentral:misc_RNA from 1 species